AGCGCCUCCGUGAGCACCUGGCGGGAAGGACGCGCAGGGCGGGCCGGGGCAGCCCCGAGCCCGGGAGGAACGACCUCUGGCUGUCCUUCAAGCCUCGACGUCAGUGCCCUCUACGUCCCUGCGGCCCACCCCCACCCCCACCCAAUUCUCCAGCUCCCGCCGUUUCCAAGCUCUUUCGGCCACGAUUUUCCAGCCUUCUCAGCGCUGGGUCUGGACCGCCGACCUGGAGGAGCCGAACUCGAUGCGAUUUGCAUAACGUGCCCGAUUGGCUCCUGCGGCCGCGGUGGGCGGGCCCCACCAACCCACCUGCCGGGGCGGAGCGCAGGACCGGGGCGGGGCCGGAGGGCCACCUGGCCGCCUCCCGGGGCCCGACGCCCGCAGCGGCCGCGGCGUGGACCGCCUACACUCCACGCAGCCGCUUCGCAAAGCGCGGCCUCCCGGAAACGUGCAUCUGCGGGACCUUCGCAAAGCAGAGCGAGAAGACCACAUCUAGUCCUGAUCUCUGGGCUACAUGGACCUCAGGCCAGCCUCCAACCAACCAUCUCCAUCUCCAGGCUAAAACACGGUAAAAGUGAAAACCCUUGUCCAAACAAAAUUCUGCACAUAGAUGUUCACAGCAGCUUUAUCCAUAAUUGCCAAAAGCUGGAAGCAGCCAAGAUGUCUUUUAGCAGGUGAACAGAUACACGGUGGUAUAUCCAGAUAAUUGACUAUUAUUUAGCACCAAAAAAAAAAAAGUGUUACCAAGCCAUGAAAAGACAUGGAGAAACUUUCGGUGCAUUUUA